rnacentral:rRNA from 1 species
AUUGAACGCUGGCGGCAGGCCUAACACAUGCAAGUCGAACGGUAACAGGAAGCAGCUUGCUGCUUUGCUGACGAGUGGCGGACGGGUGAGUAAUGUCUGGGAAACUGCCUGAUGGAGGGGGAUAACUACUGGAAACGGUAGCUAAUACCGCAUAACGUCGCAAGACCAAAGAGGGGGACCUUCGGGCCUCUUGCCAUCGGAUGUGCCCAGAUGGGAUUAGCUUGUUGGUGGGGUAACGGCUCACCAAGGCGACGAUCCCUAGCUGGUCUGAGAGGAUGACCAGCCACACUGGAACUGAGACACGGUCCAGACUCCUACGGGAGGCAGCAGUGGGGAAUAUUGCACAAUGGGCGCAAGCCUGAUGCAGCCAUGCCGCGUGUAUGAAGAAGGCCUGCGGGUUGUAAAGUACUUUCAGCGGGGAGGAAGGGAGUAAAGUUAAUACCUUUACUCAUUGACGUUACCCGCAGAAGAAGCACCGGCUAACUCCGU